rnacentral:tRNA from 3 species
AAGUAAGAAGCAAACCUUGCAAUCAGUUUCGACCUGAUCUUUGAUAAAAACUUAUCCUUACUUU